CUCUAAUGCCCGCAUUAUUUAGCAAAGCAUCGAUACGUCCAAAGGCCUCCCAAGCCUUCUGAACGGAGGCGCCGAUUGAGGAGCCAUCGCUGGUGACGUCAAGUUCGACUGCUACGGCUCGGAGAGGCGGAUCAGCGUUUGGAGGAAGGUUCGAGUGGGUGAGGUUGUUGAUCUCGUCGCAGAGAGACUUGAGUCGGUCAACUCGGCGGGCGGCCGCCACGAUCUUGCAGCCGGCUUUGGCGAGGUUGAGGCAGAACUCGCUGCCGAGACCCGAGGAAGCGCCGGUGACCAUGACCACCUUGCCCUCCAGGUCUUGCCAUGGCUCGAGGUGGUUCGCGACUUGGGACGCCAUCAAUGUGGUUGAGAGUCUCUAGAGAAAGUAGGCACCAGCUUUUAGAGGGAAAAAAAGUAAAGCAAAGAAAAUUUGAUAAGAUGAAAAUAAAUAAUAAAUAAUUAAAAGGGGAAAUAAACUCCUCUAUAUAUUCUAUUGCGACAUUGCGUGAUCAAAUUCCAUUUGUUUAUGUAUCGCCUUUGUAGUGAAUCUAGUGAUGAUGCCAUCGGAUUGUUUGCAGUGAAUUGUCGGAAUUGUUUUUAGUCAUUCUAAUAAUUAAAAAUAAAAAUUUUCAAAUAUUAAAAAUUAAAAAAUUUUAAAUAUUAAAAAUGUUAAAAACGCUUCCUAUAAUAAUUGUUAAAUAGACUCUAAGAGUAUAUUUGAAAGUAAUUCUAAAAAAUAUUUUUAGUAUUUUUAUUAAUGUGUUUUUAAGUAUUAAAAAUAUUAAAAAUACUUUCUAAAAUCACUAUCAAACUAAAAGUGCAUUUAAAAGUAAUUUUAAAAAAUAUUUUUAACAUUUCUAAUACUUAAAUAAUAAAAAACUUCAAGUGUUAAAAAAAUUUAAAACAUUCCAUAAAAUCACUACCAAAUAGAGUCUAAGUUUGUGAAGGGAUCAACACUUAAUAAGUCAUAUUUUAUUAUACAUCUUUCUAAAAUUAGUAUUAAGAAACCAAUUUUUCAGUGUCCAAUAAUUUUCCCUAUUGGUAUAAUUUUCUAAUUACGUAAAAUAAAAAUGGUCAUCAAGGGAAAAUAAUUUUUGAGAACAAACUUUUGCUUAUGAUUUUUUUAUUAUUACUCAAAAAGAGCAUAUUUUAUAUAAUAAUUAUCACGAAUUUCAUAUCUUUUGAGUAGUAACUAUACCUAAAACACUCAAUUAACAUGUUUUUACUUUUGCAAGAAUUACUAAAAAGUCUUAUGAAGUUUUGGGGUAAUUUCAAGGUAUGUUUUUUAUAAAUAGGUGACAAAAGAGAUGAAUCAAAUUAAAGAAAACAAAUAAAGUUGAUGAUGAUCCAAAUGCAUAAUGAAAGAGGCAAUCCAAUCAGUUUGGAUUGGGAUUUGGAGGUAGUUGAAGUGGAAUCAAAAUGAAGAAAUGAGAGAAAUUGCAAAAAGAAGUUGAAAAACCAUGUUUUUCAAUUUCACAUAAACACGAGAAAAAUUCGCACAGUCAUGCAAAUUGAAAUAGAAUGGACUUUGGCUGCAGCACACAAGGGGAAAAGUGAAAAUUGAUUUCGCAUGACCAUACGAAACGCUCCAAGAAGACGAAAAUGGUGCUGAUGGAUUUUCCACUUCGCACAAUCGUGCGAAAUUGUUGGAGCUCAUGCGAAAUUGUUGGAGCUCGUGCGAAAUUGCAUCUUUUCCAAAUUUCUUGAUGAAAAAGUCUCCGGAAGACCUUUUAGAUGAUGCCAAGUGUCCACUUGACCUUGGCCUAUAAAUAGAAACUUGAUUUACUCAUUUAGGGAUUUUUGAUACAUUUCCUAAUUGUAGAAUUUUCCAAAUUUCUUCUCUCUAUAUAAUUCUCUACUUUCCUUCAUUUUCUCUCAUUUUCUCGGUAGCCAAACAUGUCUUGUGAGAUCAAAUCUCAAAGUAUGAGUGGCUAAAUCUUGUUUUUCUUGGAAGAGAAAGGAUAUAGAGAUAAGAUCUAUGGUGAAUUAGAGAAAUGAGAUUAAAUUGCAAAGGUAAUUUGAUCCAAUUGAUUGAUUAAUUGAAAUUUUGAGAUUUUUCUCUUCAAAUUGUCUUGGAUGAUUACGACAAUGUAAGUUAGGUACAUUCAUCAAAUUCUUAAAGUUAGAUUUGAUGAGAUUGAAUAGUUACAUUGUGUGAAUCAUUGGCAGAUAAUUUAAGAUGAAUUGAAUAUAUGAUUUGAAUUGAUCUCUUAGAUUAAACGACCUAAUUUGAAGAGAAAUUAGAUCUAAACCUAAAGUCAAAUCAAAAAUCGGUUUAGAUGAAAAUUUAGGUUUUCAAUCUAACUUGAUGAAAAUUAGAUCUCAACAUCUAUUCACCAUGGAAAUUGUUUUCUAGAAAAUCCUAACUCCGAGAAUUUUAUCUCCUAUUAAUUUUCUUUUAUUUUACAUUUUAUUUUUCUUCUCAAUUUUAGACCAUUGUCAAAUUAAUUUUUCAUCAUGAAUUUUCAAAUCAAUUUCACUUGAUCACAAUCAUUUCUUAUCCUUUCAUUCAAGCCUUAAUUACCGAGAAUAAUCCAUCCUAGUGGACGACACCUAAAAACCACUAUAUUACAGUAGUUUGUACUAAAAUUGUUUUUAAUCGGGUACAAUCUACUUUAGAAUAGUGAAUUAGGUUAUAAAUUUUGUUUUGAUCAAAUAAAUGACAAAAAUCUAAGCGAUCAAUUUUGUAUAUAAAAAAUAAUUUUUUUCACUUAUUCUCGAUAAAACUUAUAAUGUAAAAGUUUUCAAAAUAUUUUUUUAAUAUUUUUUCUUUAUUUUUUGAAAAAUUUUGAUAAAUAAAAUAUGAAAAUACUUUUAAAUUAUUUUUAAAAUAACCUAUUUUCACAACAACAUUUUGAAAAAAACUUUUUUUAUUUUCUCAAAAUUUGGUCAAAUAUAUUCUCUAAGUUGGAGAGUGUCUAAUAUCCUUGUAAAUGUAUUUGGACAAAGUUUUGGAUUUUUAUUAUUUACUUUUGCUUUUAACAGCAAAACUCACUUUAAAAAUCCAAAAAAUAAAAUGAGUUUGGAAAACAAAAUCCAAACUUUAAUCAAAUUUAAAUCCUUUAAUUUUCUCAUUUGUUAAAAGAAUCUCAUAUUUUAUGCCAUUGAUGAAUAAGAAAAAACUUCUUACAUCUCUUAUAAGAAUCAUCUAUCAAUAUUUGAGUAUAUUUUUUUUUAGUGAUGCAUGGUGUUAAUUGAUUGAACUAAAAUUGUAUAAUAAAACCUGUCAAUAGGGAUGACAAUUUAGACACGACACGAUAAUGCAAUUUGAAAAUGAUUGGAUUGUUAAUGUGUUUGGGUUUGCAUGUGAUUGUGUUGUGUCUUAAUAAACAUGUCUUAUUUGGGUUUUCAUUAUUCACCUUGUUUAUGAUUUAUUUGCUUAAUUGUAUCAAAAUAAUUUAUUUAAUCCAUAUAAAUUUAAUAAUUUUAUACAUUCCAAUUAUAAAAAUAAUAAAUACUUUGUUAAUUAUAAAUAUCAUAUAGUAAAAACAUUAAAUAACUAAAUAAAAUUACAUUUGAUUAGUAAGAUUAAAAAUAGUUUAUAGUUAAAAUUUUAAAUAAAAUAAUAAGUAAAUGUAAAAAUUAAAAUAUUAUCCUACUUUUUAUAUUAUGAUCAAAAUUAAAUAAUUACAUUAAUUAAGAUUAAAAAUUAAAGCAAAUGAAAAGUAUUUUAGAAUAAUAUAUUUAUAAAGUUAAAUUCCAAAAUAGGUUAAACGGGUUAUAAUCAUGUUAACUAGUUAAAAUCAUACUAAUGGAUUAUUAUGUCCGAUUUAACCCAUUUAUUAAAUGAGUUAAAUGGGUUGUAUUGAGUUACCUAUAUAAUAAAUGAGUUGUGUUUAUGUUGAAUGUUUCCGACAUGAUUAUUAAAUAAGUCAUAUUUAAAUUAAAUAAAUUUUUACUAUUUUUUUUUUACUUUGAAGACAUUGCCAUCCCUACUUGCUCACAUGCAUUUAAACAAAAAAAUCUUGUAAUUUUCUCUCCAAUCCUUAUCAUUUUUCCCAUCGGCAAGUUCCCUAUUAGGAAAAGAAAUUCCUUGUAUACAUCUCUCAUCCCCAUUCAUGGUCUUUGAAUUCAUAUUUAAAAUUUUCAAAUAUAUAUAUAUAUAUAUAUAUAUAUAUAUAUAUAUAUAUAUAUAUAUAUAUAUAUAAACUAAUAUAUUUUAUAGUGAAUAUGAUAAUUUUUAAAAAAAUAAAUAAAUAUAAAAUUAUAUAUAAAGAAAUAUAUUUAAUAUUAUAUGUAUAUGGUUUGGGUGGGUUUUGGAUAGGGAAUAGUUUCAUUUCCCUGGUCGAGGUUCCCCAUCCCUAAUCCGACUCCAUUAGGGAUGGAUUCCCCAGGGGCACAACUUGGCUGGUUUUUUAUGCCAUCCUUGCUGGAGGGUGGGUUGGGAACUGUUGCCCAAAGCAUGGCCCAUGGGCCCCAACAUUGGCAAAAUCUUGAAACCCUUUAAGAUUAAGCUUGUUAUCUGUUUAUGUAUAUGUGCCGCCAUUUAGAUUGCAGGCCUAAAAAACUUAUAUAGUUUAUGAAGACAUGACCCAACAGGCCCAUCGGGCCACUUGUAUUCCUCUUUAACUUGACACCAAAAGCGCAUUUGGUCGGGUUGAGCUUCAUAUUGUAUGCUUUCAUUAGGCAAAAUGUUUCCUCUAAGUGUAGGACGCGUUUGCUCUGGGUUUUGUUUUUUACCACAAUAUCAUCAAUAUAGACUUCUACGGUUCGGCUGAUCAAGGGUUUGAAGAUUUUUGUCAUCAACCUUUAAUAAGUGGUUCCAACAUUCUUAAGCCCAAAUGGCAUAACCCUAUAGCAGUAUAAUCUGUGCAGCAUCACGAAGGCGGUUUUCUUUUCAUCCGGUUGGAACAUCGGGAUCUGGUGGUACCCGGAGAAUGUGUCUAUGAAAGAGAGCAUCUCAUACAUGGUAGUGGACUCAACUAUCUGAUCUAUUCGAGGUAGAGGGAAGCUAUCUUUCAGGCAAGCAUCAUUCAGGUUGGUGUAAUCAACACAGACUCGCCACUUUCCUCCUUUCUUUGGAACAACCACUACAUUCGCCAACCAAUCCAGAUAUUAUACUUCCUUGAUAAACCCGAUUGUCAGCAACUUGUCCACAUUGAAUUGGAUGAUCUUUUGCUUGUCUGGAUGGAAGCGUCUGACUUUCUGGCAAACGGGUCACGAGGAAGGUAUGAUAUUGAGUCGAUGUAAGGCUACCGAUGGAUGGAUUCUGGGCAUAUCAAAGUGAGUCCAUGCGAAAACAUCCUUGUUCUACUAAAGCACUCCUUCGAGUAAUUUUAAUUCUUUUAGUGCUAGGAGAGAGCUAGCAUAGGUAACACGAUCACUGCUACCUGAGAGAUGCAAGGGUUGGAGCGAGUCUGCUGCUGACAGAUCUUUUUUCGUCAGGCUCUGUAAUUGCUAUUGCUCCUUCGUAUUUGUCAGUCUCGUGUGUGGCUCACUGUUGCUUGGGAGUCCGAAAUUGAGUACCGCUUGAUAGCACUAGCACGUAGCCAACUUACUACCAUAAAGGUCGAUUUGUCCGUCCUCGGUGAGGUAGCUUACCAUCUGAUGAUACGUAGAGGGAAUGACUUUCAUGUUGUGAAGCCACGUGCGCUCCAUGAUGGUGUUAAAAUGGGAUAAGUCCUCUACUAUCGAGAACUGCACAUUCUGGGUGAUCAUACCAACUUGGACGGGUAAUACGAUGUCACCUAAAGACGUUGUCGUUGUCCCAUUGAACCAAAUAAUAUCUGUUUUGGGUUUUCUAGGGCAAUCGGCAGGAGUCUCAUUUGUUUGUAUGACGACAUUUGCAAGAGGUCAACUGAGCUGCCCAGAUCAACCAAAAUCCUUCUUACAUCAAACCCAUUUAUCCCUAAUGUUAGAACUAGGGCGUCUUCAUGUGGUUGUAGUACUCGGUUGGGGUUUACUGGAGGGAAGGUUAUUAUCCCGUCCAUUAGGCAUGCACCUUGAUUACUACUCAAAAAGUGUUAUUUCAUAGCUUGUAAUUAACUCUUUUAAACACUUUUGAGUAGUAGUUAUUGCCUUUUAACCCAAUUAACAUGUUAAGGACCCUUGCAAUCACUUCUAAUCAAUUUGUGUUAAGUUUUGGUGUUUUGAUAGCUUUUUUAUCACCAAAGCAAUCCGAGAUUGAGGAGAGUUAUUUGGAAUCUAUGGCAAAGCAAUGGAAAGCUCAGAAACAUGAAGAACCAAAGCUUUGAAGUCCUUUGUCAUAAGCAAAUCCGGAAUGCAAGGAGGAGAAGCAAAGAGAAAUCUGCCAUGAAGCAUUCUUGAUGAUAGCCAUGUCAGCCACUUUUAGAGCACUUCCUGAAGUCUAAUUUAUGCAUGCUAUAUGUCGUUUCGAAGCUCAGGAAGUCAACAAUCCAAUGCUUCAAAUGGUGUUCAAUUUGGAGUUGAAAUGAAGGAAUUACAGCCAUUACAAGUUGAUCACUCUAAGUUGAAGGAAGAAUUUUGCACAGCGCUGCGAAAUCACCCUUUUGUUGCGAGAUGAUUUCGCAGCCUUUUUGUACAGUGCUGUGGAUUCUCCCCUGAAGUUUCCCGUCACAAUGGAAGCCGAAUACCGCAAGCUGAAAGCCAACUUCGCAGCGCUGCGAAAUCAGCCUUUUGCUGCGAAGUGAUUUCGCAGCCCUUUUUGUGCUUCUACGAAAUCUCGUAGACCUCGUUUUCACCUGCGAAAUGGUCCUUAGUGCUUCCCGAUAUUUGUGACCGACACUUUUGGAUAUUUUGCUUCAGAUUUUUGAUAACUAAAUCCUCAUUUUCUCCUUGUAACCCACCAAUUAUAGGAUUUCUUAGUUAUUAAGUUUGGCAAAGGGGUGAAUAACCUUAGAUAUUUUGUUUUGUAAUUUUCUUUAUAUAUAGCUCUCGGGAGCUUGUUCUUAUAUAGAAUUAUGUAAUCCGACGGGAUAUAGAUUUAUAAAUAUAUAGAAUAUACAGAGCCUUGCUCUGUUUUUUCUUUCUCUUUCAUUUUCAUUUUCUUGCUAAUCAAACUCUGAAGAUUUUUCCUCAGAUGAUGAGAGGCUAGGCUCUUCGUCUCUUGGAGCUAAGGUAACCGGGUAAGUUUUCCACAUGCAUAAAUUGGAAGUUUUGUUGUUUUAGUUUUUAAUGAAGAGAAAGUGUGACCCGUUAAUGGUUUUUAUCUUUUUAGUUAACUUAAAACGCCUUUAAUUCACCUGAGCCAACACUUGGUAAGGCAAGUGAUCUCCGUCCAUGGAGAUGCACUAGUUUAUCUCUUGCGAGCUUUUGGUAGGUGGUUUGAAGGUAGGAUUUUCUAGAAUAGCCAACACUUGUUAAGAUUUUGGACUCCAAUGAGACAUCCAUUAGUUAUCUCUUGCGAGCUUUUGAUGGGUAAUCCAAGGUUAAAGAUCACCUUGAAUGACAAAUGCUAGGUGAGAGGCACGAGUCAUUGCAAGGUGCAUCAAUGAGAGGGAUUUAGUGUUUGAACCCAUUAAUGGGAAGUAUCUGUACAACACUGGUUAGAGAAUUAACUACAUGUUAAUUCUCUAAUGCGAGGAAAAGAAACAAGUGACCAGAACUCUCCUUUUUGUAUGAGGAAUCUGAGCCUAGUGAUCUGAAACUCCAAGAAACACUUUUCUUUGUAAGUAAAAUCAGUUGCUAUUUUUGGUUAGUUUAAAACCAAACUUUUUUCAUUCAAACAUCUUUAUGUUUUCUUUUAAAGCUAACCUUGAAAUGAAAAGGCACCAAUUCAGCUUUGAAUUAAUAUCAUUUGCAAAGUGAAAACCCAUCCCAGUGAACGAUCCUAGAGCCACUAUGCUAUAAUAGCUUUGUCUUUGCUAUCCUAGUAAAUGGUGUAAUAGGUUAUAAAUUUUGUUGAUUACUCCCUCAAUCAAGGAGCACCAGCUGGACACGAAUCAACUGAGACACCAAUUGGGCAUGAAUCACACCUUCACUCGGCAAACUAUGUUGGAUAGAGCUAACCUACUCCCUCACGAAAGCCACUCGUAGCAAUCUUUGUCUCUUUUGUUUGGAAUUGUAUUUUUCGUCAACGAGACCCCCAUGAAUGUAGUUGAUGAUAGCUCUAAGAGCUUCCGAAGUUGUGGACACUUGGAUAGCCAAAUCCCGGGUGGUUUCCCUUUGUCCUUCGAUUGAGCGGAUGUAUCAUUUUAAGUGCUUGGCCUUAAUUAGUCUUUCCACUAAGUAGUGGAAACUUCUGCAUUGUUUCGUGGUGUGGCCAUGAUCUUUGUGAUAGGCACACUUCCUGUUCUAAUCCCGUUUCGUCGAAUCUGUCUUAAUUGACUCUGGCCAUCUAAAAUCAGACAGAUCACAAAUCAUGGGAAGGAGUUUGUCGUAUGAAAUGCUAAGGGGGGUCAGACUAGCUUGGCUUGGCUGCUGCUGGUCGUCUCGCUUCUUGCUGACUUGCCUUAGUUGGUUUGAGAGCUUAGAAUUUUCGGCAUGAUCGUUCCUGGCGGAUCGACGAGUGACCAGGACCUGCUGUGUAGUCUUACAAACAUCGUCUUCAAGAUGGAGUACUUGUUUACUCGUUUGAAUAGGUCAUCCAUUGUCGCUGAUAGUUUCUUAACGAGAGAUUCGAAGAAAUGCGUACUCGGACAAAUGCUUCUUUUGAAGAUUUGUAGGAUGACGUCCAUGCUACAAGACUCUACUUGGAGCACGACCUGUCCGAACAGUUUCACAAACUCCCUCAAUGAUUCAUUUUCCUACAUUUUUAUGUUUUGCGGGGUACUUAUGUUCUAUUUGUCAUGCCGAGCAUAGGUAGUGUCCCACAAAGGCUUCUGAUAGAUCCUAGAAAUUACUCACAAAAUUCUUUAGGAGAUGGUGGAACUACGAAAGGGCCUAGCCAUGUAAGCUAGUUGGAAAGACUUUGCAUAAUAGCACAUCGUUCCCUAUGUUGAGGGUCAUGAGCUGCCUAUAAUGCAUGAUAUGAUCAAACAGAUCACUUGUUUCGUCAUAUGUCAUGAAUUUUGGUACCAUGAACCCUCUUGGGGGCUAGUAGUUGAUGAUGUAAAGGCUAAAAAGCAUGGAGAGCAUGUCACCCAAUCGUCUACUGACAGAGCCAAGCAGUCCUCGUUCUGUCAGAGCCCCUACUUGUUGUUAUGCUGGUGGACGAGAAGGCCAUUCUAGCAUGACCAUUGUAAUCGAGAAACCAAGGCAGGCUUCCUGGGUCGCUGCUACACAUGGUUUCCCUUCCAUGCCAGGUGUCUGAGGUCUUAGCCGAGCUCACAUUGUGUCUGAUAGUUGUGACCUUCUAUCACACCUCUUUUUUGUGGAGAUGUGGGUAGAGUCAGAGCUUUCAUCUAACAGUGCUUGGCAAGUUGGUAGAAACUUUUCUUUAGGUCGUAUCUCCUGGCUACCAGAGAUGAACUUUGCGUCCCUAAGAAAUGACAUUUUUUCGUUUUGUUUGGAGUUUGUUCACUGGCUCUUAGGCUGUCGGCUACGAGGGGGGCUUGACGAAGACACCUGGAUGCGUAACACUUCAAUUUCUUCUCUAAGUCUCCUUGUCUCACAGAGCAAGGACUGUACCUGUCGUUUGCUCUCUUGUUGGCGUCUUUCCAUGUUUUCACACUAGUCGAAGUAGCCAUCGCUACCCAUGGCUGAUGAUCGGCUCCUUGAGGGCGUCGACAUUCUUAACAUUUCCCACAAAUAGCACCAAUGUUGAUGCGAGGUUAACUGGAGUCAGAUCCGCCUUAUGUUGUGCCACUGAGAGCUUUUACCCAGCAACAAGGGACUAAGUGAGCUUUUUCCCUACACAAAGGAUGUCCGGACAAGGUGUCUGAGCACGCCCCUCUGAAGCUUAAGUCAGACACAGGUAGGUUAGAGCUUAUAGGGAGAAAAUGAAUAAACUAGCUUAGGUGUGCAUACCUGGGUUAUGCUUUAGGAAGACUUUUUAUAGUGCUCAAGAGAAAGUUAAUGUAGUGCUGAGUAGAUACUUUGACCUUCACUGUAAUAAUGGUUAUCCUGCAGGUGGCAGAGCAAUCAUUGCAGUUUAGGGCAACUAGCAAGUUCCAUCAAAUGAUGUGUCAUAAUGUAGCUGCCCAUCAUUUCAACCUUCUGGAGAUAUGAGGCAAUGUGUGAUAAUUUGUUGACAUCAAGGAUGAAAAUAUCGGUAAUUACGGAUAUAUCGAUAUUUCGAUUUUACGGAUAUAUCGAUAUUUCGAUUUUACGGAUAUAUCGGAAAUAUAUCGAUGGAUAUUUUGAUAUAAAAUAUUAGUAGACCUAAAAUUGACCAAAACUUAUAAAAAUAUAAAAUAAAACUUUUAGAAAUGAAAUUAAAAUAUAAUAGAUAUUUUAAAAUUAUUUUAUUAAAUAAAUUAAUGUAUAUAUAAUAUUGUACGUGUCAAUAAAAAAAUAUAAAUUUGAUAAGUGUAUAUUGAUUAUUAAAUUAUAUUAAAUAUUAUUUGAUCAUUAUAUUGUGAUAUUUGAUUAUAAUAUAUUUCGAUGGAUAUUUUAACACAAAAUAUCGGUAAAUCUAAAAUUGAUCAAAACUUAUAAAAAUAUAUUAAAAAAAACUUUUAAAAAUAAAAUUAAAAACAUAAUAGACAUUUUAAAGUUAUUUUUUCGAAUAAAUUGAUAUAUAUAUAUAUAUAUAUAUAUAUAUAUAUAUAUAUAUAUAAUAUUGUACAUGUUAAUAAAAAAUAUAAAUUUGAUAAGUGUAUAUUGAUUAUUGAAUUAUAUAAAAUAUUAUUUGAUGAUAAUAUUGUGAUUAUAAUAUGUUUAAUUUUAAAAUCUGUUUAAUAUUAAAAUAGUGAUAUAUUAUAAAAUAAAUGAUAAUAAAUAUAUAAAAUAUUAAUAUAUUAAUAAUAUUAAAAACUCUAUGAAUAAAAUUAUGAUAUUUUUUACUAAUCAAUUAAAUGAAAAUUUUUCAUUUAAUUAUAAAAUAGUCAUAAUUAAUUUGUUAUUUAAAGUGUUUUUUUAAUAUUUUAUUUAUAUUCUAAGUUUUAAUAUAUAUUUCUUUAGAGUGUCAUAUUUAUCAAAGAGCAUGUUUGCCCUAGUGGAACUGGGCCUGACAUAGAAAUCUUUUGUUGGGGGUUCGAAUCCCCCCAACAGCAGGAAGAAAAAAAGCUUAAUUUUGACCGUUGACCGCCUGUGUUGACCGAGCGUUGACCGGCGAUAUAUCUCUGCUGCACCCACCGACACACCGAUAUUUCGCCGAAAUAUCGCCUAAUUCCAAAGGGAAUGAUUACACGUAGCAAGGGAGUUCCGAGCACUGUGGCAAUUAUCUGGACAAUGCUGAGGGAAGUGACGCAUGGACUGACACGUGGAAGGUCCCUACAAUUACUACUCCUCAUUCACGUCUACCAAACAGGCCUUUGGGAUGAAAAUUAUAUACGUCAAUUCCAAGUUUCCAACCCAACACAAUUAUAUUAUUCACCUAAAUCACACUAAACCCAAUUUCCAUUUUUUUGGUGCAUCCAACCUGGAAUAUGUACAUUUUAAUGUAAUUCCUGCACAAAUGAGAAAAGUGAAUAAGCCAUCUUCCUCGACAUUCUUCUUGUAAAUUGAAGAGCAAGAUUUAUUUAUUUAUUUAUUUAUUUGCAUUUUAAAAACCAAUGUGAAAUUUGUCUUUUGAUUUUGAGCAUCCAUGAUGCCGAUAUGUACAUUUCAAUUACCACAUGAAGCAGGAAGUUCAAUCUUAAAUACCGAACAUCAAGCAGAAACCACUACACCCAGUAGAUGUAGAUUUUAAUAUUCAAUGGGUUCAUUCCAAUUGCCACAUUAUUUUCAGCAACCAGAACUCAAAAAAAGCCACACAAAUAACACGAUUAUAAGGAUAUGGGGGAUCGGAUACCUUAUUUUAUUUCCCAGUAUAAUUUUGAGACAAUCAAAUUCUGAGCUGCAGAGUCUGAAAUCCAAUAAAGGAGCUUUGGAGUCUAUGGUGGUGUACCGGGAUGAACCAUCACCUUCCAAAUUAAAAUUCUAGGGCUAUACCACAAACAGAAUUCUGAGAUGUAUUGGGUAUUACAUGAUGAAUAACCCAAGAAAACUAGUACCGUAGAAGAGCUUCAAAGGGAAGAGAAAAUGGGAACACCCGGCAGGGUUGCGCCUGCAUCGACAUUGAAAACGUUACCUGAUAUGUAUCGUGAAGAAUCAUGAAUCAAGUAUCGCACCAGGGAUGUCAAUGCAGGGUCCGAUGUUCCAUAGGCCCGCAAGGGGCAUGUUCUCUGAACCACAGUGUUGAGCCAGUCUUUUUGCAUAAGGCCCGCAGUUAUCUCCGAUUUGAAUAUUCCAGGUGCUAUUGCAUUCGCUCUAAUAUUGUAUGCCCCCAAUUCCAAAGCCAUUACCUGGAAUUGUUAUUAUUUGGAAAAAAAAUAAAUAAAUAAUCAUUCUUCAGUGCCAGACUCAGAUGAGUGUGUAGGAAUAAAGGUUCUACAACAUUUUUGCAUGGAAAAACAGUUGAAGAUGGCAGGAAAUAUACAAUAAAAUGUCGAAUCGAAAUAAGUAUAAUGCUAUAUAAACACAAGCCCUUAACCAGAUUUACAGAAAAUGACUUACAUCUUGGAUAGACAAACUGUACGUAUCAUGCAAAAGCGGAGAAUAAUAUUGGGAUUUUUUGCAUGGGAAGCAAGGUGAGAAGAAUAUUGACUUUUUGUACAUUGAUUUUUAUCUUCUCUUUUUAUACAUUUUAUAUACUCCUCAUGCUUAUUAAAAAAAAAAAAAGACAAAAAUAAUAUUAAAAAUUAAAAAUAAAAUAACAAGACAAGCAUAAUAUAGUGAACAUAAACAUUUGACUACAUUUUCACAAUAUAUUUAAAUCUAACGUUGAAUUUCCUAACUCACCUUUGUUUGCCAGAAUAUAUUAGAAACAAAUUUAAAACAUGUCAGAGAUAUUACCUUUGUCAUGGCGCUCAAGCCUGACUUGGAAGACACAUAGGCUACUGCUCCAGGUGACUGUCCCCGAUUAAGAGAAACAAUGGAAGAAAUAUUGAUGAUUGAUCCUCCAUUCUUGGCAUCCCUCAUGCGCAUACCGACAUAUUUUGACACCAACCAUGAUCCCGUCAAGUUUGUCUUCAGAGUAUUGUUCCAUUCCUCCUCAGAUAUAUCCAGAGGAGAGUUCACAUUGCCUAAGGCACACAGGGCACAGGGCAUGGGUUAAAUACAUCUACCACGCAUUACGUUCACAAAUAUUAGCAGAACACCAGAGAUAAAUUAAAUGAGUAAUAUUGAUGAGAAAAAUAUAUGUGAUUGACUCGGUAUAGAUACCCAGUUGACUUGGUAUAGAUACCCAGUUGACUCGCUGAUUAGUUUCAAAUUUCAGUUAGAACUGAAUGAAAUGAAACGUGCGCUAGAAUUGACAGUAUGAGAAAAACAAGGUUUCCAAAAGUCAGCUGCAAAACGGGAAAUUCAGGAUACAGGAAUAUCAGGAUCGUGCAAAAUCAAAAUUUACCUCUAAUGCCCGCAUUAUUUAGCAAAACAUCGAUACGUCCAAAGGCCUCCCAAGCCUUCUGAACGGAGGCGCUGAUGGAGGAGCCACCGCUGGUGACGUCAAGUUCGACUACUACGGCUCGGACAGGCCUGUCAGCGUUUGGAGGAAGGUUCGAGUGGGUGAGGUUGUUGAUCUCGUCGCAGAGAGACUUGAGUCGGUCAACUCGGCGGGCGGCCGCCACUAUCUUGCAGCCGGCUUUGGCGAGGUUGAGGCAGAACUCGCUGCCGAGACCCGAGGAAGCGCCGGUGACCAAGACCACCUUGCCCUCCAGGUCUUGCCAUGGCUCGAGGUGGUCCGCGACUUGGCAUGCCAUCAAUGCGGUUCAGAAUCUCCAGAGAAAGUAGGCACCAGCUCUUAGAGGGAAAAAAGUAAAGCAAAGAAAAAUUGAUAAUCUGAUAAUAAAUAAGAAUGAAUUAAAAGGGGAAAUAAACUCCCUAUAUAUUCUAUUGCGACAUUGCGUGUACAAAUUCCAUUUGUUUAUGUAUCGCCUUUGCAGUGAAUCUAGUGAUGAUGCCAUCGGAUUGUUUGAAGGCAACAUUAAAACAAAGGCGGCCCAUAGUCCUAGGAUGAUGCCGUCGGAUUGUUUGAAGGCAACAUUAAAACAAAGGCGGUGCCAUCGGAUUGUUUGAAGGCAACAUUAAAACAAAGGCGGCCCAUAGUCCUAGGAUGAUGCCAUCGGAUUGUUUGAAACAAAGGCGGCCGAGUAAAAGGGCAGUGACACGGAAGUGUUUCUCAGCCCUUUUUAACACUUACAAAUUUUUAAAUAUUAAAUGUUAUAAACGAUUCCUAUAAUUUAAGAAUACAUUUGAAAAUGAUUUUAAAAAAUAUUUUUAGUAAUUUUUUAAAGUAUAUUUAAUAGUGAUAGUAUGAAGUGUUUUCGGUGUUUAUAACACUUAAAAUUUUCAAUAUUUAAGUAUUAAACAUAUAAAAAAUACUUUCUAAAAUCACUAUCAAAUACGUUUUAAUACUUGAAUGAUGAAAAUUUUUAAAUAUUAAAAAUAAUAAAAGUGUUUUCCAAAAUCAUUAUCAAAUGGGUUUUAAGAUUGCAUUUAGAAGUGAUUUUAAAAAACGUUUUUAAAAUUUUUAAUACUUAAAUUAUAAAAAAAUUCAAGUGUUAAAAAUAUUAAAAACAUUUUCUAAAAUCAAUAACAAAUCGACUCUAAGUUUGUUAUUGAUACUUAAUAAAUCAUAUCUUUUAUUAUACAUCUUUCUAAAUUUAGUAUCAAAAAAACAAUUUUUCAAUGCCUGAUAAUUUUCUCCAUUGGUAUAAUUUUCCAAUUAUGUAAAAUAAAAAUAGUCAUAAAGGGAAAAUAAUUUUUUAGAACAAACUUUUGUUUGGGAUCUUGUAUAUAAAAAAUAAAUUUUUUGACUUAUUAUCCAUAAAACUUAUAAUGUAAAAGUUUUCAAAAUAUUUUUUAAAUAUUUUUUCUUUAUUUUUUCGAAAAAAAUUGAUAAAUAAAAUAUGAAAAUACUUUUAAAUUAUUUUUAAAAUAACCUAUUUUCACAACAAAUUUUUGAAAAAACAUUUUUUUUUCUCAAAAUUUGGUCAAAUAUAUUAUCUAAGUUGGAGUGUGUCUAAUAUCCUUGUAAAUGUAUUUGGACAAAGUUUUGGAUUUUUAUUAUUUACUUUUGCUUUUAACGGCAAAACUCACUUUAAAAAUCCAAAAAAUAAAAUGAGUUUGGAAAACAAAAUCCAUACUUUAAUCAAAUUUAAAUCCUUUAAUUUUCUCAUUUGUUUAAAGAAUCCCAUAUUUGAUGCCAUUGAUGAAUAAGAAAAAACUUCUUACAUCUCUUAUAGGAAUCAUCUAUCAAUAUUUGAGUAUAUUUUUUUUAGUGAUACAUGAUGUUAAUUGAUCGAACUAAAAUUGUUUAAUAAAAUCCGUCAAUAGAAAUGACAAUUUAGACACGACACGAUAAUGCAAUUUGAAAAUGAUAGGAUUGUUAAUAUGCUUGGGUUUGCAUGUGAUUGUGUCGUGUCUUACUAAACAUGUUUUAUUUGGGUUUUAUUAUUCACUUUGUUUAUGAUUUAUCUGCUUAAUUGUAUCAAAAUAAUUUAUUUAAGCCGUAUAAAUUUAAUAAUUUUAUACAUUCAAAUUAUAAAAAUUAUAAAUACUUUAUUAAUUAUAAAUAUCAUAUAGUAAAAACAUUAAAUAACUAAAUAAAAUUACAUUUGAUUAGAAAUAUUAAAAAUAGUUUAUAGUUAAAAUGUUAAAUAAAAUAAUAAGUAAAUAUAAAAAUUAAAAUAUUAUCCUACUUUUUAUAUUAUAAUCAAAAUUAAAUAAUUACAUUAAUUAAGAUUAAAAAAUUAAAACAACUAAAAAGUAUUUUAGAAUAAUAUAUUUAUAAAGUUAAAAUCAUGUUAAUUGAUUAUUAUGUCCAAUUUAACCCAUUUAUUAAAUGAGUUAAAUGAAUCAUAUUGAGUUACCUAUAUAAUAAAUGAGUUGUGUUUAUGGUGUUUAUGUCAGAUGUUGAUGUUUUUGACAUGAUGAUUAAAUAAGUCAUAUGAAUUAAAUAAAUUUUUACUAUUUUUUACUUUGAACACUUUGCCACCCACCCCUACUUGCUAACGUGCUUUUAAACAAAAAUCUUACAAUUUUCUCCCCAAUCCUUAUCCUUUUUCCCAUCGACAGAUUCCCUAUUAGGAAAAGAAGUUCCUUGUAUGCAUCUCUCACCCCAUUCAUGGUUUUAGACUUCAUAUUUAAGCUUUUCCAAAAAUAUGUAUAUAAAAUAAUAUAUUUUCUCCCCAAUCCUUAUCCUUUUUCCCAUCGGCAAAUUCCCUAUUACGAAAAGAAGUUUCUUGUAUGCAUCUCUCAUCCCCAUUCAUGGUUUUAGAAUUCAUAUUUAAAAUUUUCAAAAAACAUAUAUAUAUAUAUAAUAAUAUAUAAACUAAUAUAUUUUAUAGUGAAUAUGAUAAUUUCUUUUUAAAAAAAAUUAUAUAUAAAGAAAUAUAUUUAAUAUUAUAUGUAUAUAGUUUGGAUGGGUUUUGGAUAGGGAAUAGUGUCAUUUCCCUGGGUCGGGGCUCCCCAUCCCUAAUCCGGCUCCAUUAGGGAUGGAUUACCCGGGGGCACGACCUGGCUGAUUUUUUAUGCCAUCCCUGCUGGAGGGUGGGCUGGGAUCUGUUGCCCAAAGCAUGGCCCAUGGGCCCCAACAUUGGUAAAAUCUUGAAACCCUCUAAGAUCAACAUUUGUUAUAUGGGCCGCCAAUUAGACUGCAGGCCUAAAAAACUUCUAUAGUUUAUGAAGACAGAACCCAACAGGCCCAUCAGACCAAGAAUCAGAUUACAGCAGAAAGGUUUUUGGAAAGUAGAAGAGUUGCAUGAUCAUGAUGGGAAAGAAGAAAAUGGCCCAGACCAUUCUUAAAACUUGGAGGUUUGAUAAAGUCCCAAAAUAAAAAUUCCCACUUUUCAAUCAAUUUCAAAUUUCCACAUUUUUCUCCACAACCAAACAAAUAAAUGAAAAGACAAUUUAAAUAGACCCAAAUUAAAGAGGUGUAAAAUUUGCUAAAUAGAAAUUGCCUUCACACUUGAAUCAACAACGGAGCCCACUCAAACACCAGUGGUCUCUUUUUAUUCCAGUGGGGAAAGGCGAGGGGCCCAAGCCCAAGACCAAACUUCUAAAACAAAAAUAAAACUCAAAGGGAAGAGAAAAUUGGGAUACCGGGAGGGAACUGCCUGCAUCAACAAUAAGAAUAUUGCCUGUAAUAUAUCGAGAAGAAUCAUGAACCAAGAAUCGCACCAGGGAGGUCACUGCAGGAUCCAAGGUGCCAAAUGUUUGUAGAGGAACCAUUUUUAGAGUCACAUUAUUCAGCCAACUUUUUUGUAGUAAGCCCUCUGUUAUCUCUGAUUUGAAGAGUCCAGGUGAUAUUGCGUUUACCCUCACAUUGUACAUCCCAAAUUCUAUGGCCAUGACCUGUGUUGUUCACAUUUGAAAAACAAAAACCAAUUUUGUGGUAACCACGUAUAAUUUGCAUAAUCUUGGAUUUGAUAAAAAAUAAUUUCAAAUUUUGGAUUUGAAAAACAAAAACAAAUGUGUUGUUCACAUUUGAAAAACAAAAAACAAUUUUGUGGCCAUAACCCUCCUUGAUGCCCGUCACGCAUCCGUCUACAUACAUGUUUCGACACCAGCCAUGUUCCAUUUAAAUUCGUCUUCAUACCCUCACCCCACUCUUCCUCGUCCAACUCCAAUGAAUUUUUCACAGUACCUAUAUACCACCCCCAUACAAGUUAAAUAUGUAACAUUAGAUUAGAGGGAUUACAUGUGUGGUUUUUCAUUUAAAAAAUCAAUCAUAAAGAAAAUAAAAUUGAAUCAAAAUUUAGGCUUACGCAUUAAUAACAUUCAAUGGUUAUUUGAUUAUAUUAUUGAUUUAGUGAAAAUAUUUUAUAUUAUGGAUUAUAAAUAUAAAUAUAAUAAUACGGUUAAAUAGACAAAUACCACAUCUAAUCAUAUGAUAUUAUUCGAUUUGAAAACAAAUGAGUCUCAUAAUUUUAAAAUACGUAUAAGAUUAAAAAAAAUCUUUAUAUAUAUCGCUCGAACUUUCUCUCCUAUGCUAUAUAAAAUUAAAGAUGAAUUUUUAUAUAGAGUUAAGAAACUUUCUUCCGAAUAAUGGAAUAUUAGAUCACGAAACUACAUGAUUUUAGAAAUAUUUAUGGUGGAAUGAUUAUUUUUCAUAAAAAUUAUUGUAGUUGUGCAAAAAGGCCCGCCGCAUGGUGAACAACAAUAAUCAAAAGCAAAUAUAAAUUACGUCUCACAUCUGCAAUUUUUAACUAACCACGAGAGUCAAAAUUUUUCUUUUCUUUUUAUUUCUCGAGAAAAUAGAAGAAGGAAACCAUAAUCACCUCUAAAGCCGACAUUAUUUAUCAAAACAUCAAUGCGUCCAAACCCGUCCCAAGCUUUAUGCACGGACGCAUCGAUGGUAGGGUCAUCAGCGGUGACAUCGAAUUCCACGGCCACUGCUCGGACAGUGGUGUUAGGGUUUAAAGGAGAGCCAGAAAAUGCAGGAUGGUUAAUCUCGUCGCAGAGAGACUUGAGUCGAUCUGUCCUGUGAGCCACCGCGACGAUCUUGCAGCCGACUCGAGCGAGGUUGAGACACAAUUCUCGGUCGAGACUUGAGGACGCUCCAGUGACCAAAAUCACCUUACCCUCUAGGUUGUUCCAUGGCUCGGGGUUGUUCGACUCUUGGUUCGCCAUUGCCUCUGAUCUCAGUUUAUGUUUACUGUUUAUAGAGAGAGGCAGAGAGAUAAAAUAAAGAACAGCUGCAAAGAGUAUUUAUUUCAGGAUACCGAAAAGGGAAAAAAUAACGUCAUUUAAAAAAAUAUUAAACUGUUGUAAAAUAAGGACAAAUACAAUGCAAAUAAAAGUAGUAGAGAUUAAAUAUAUCUUACUUUGAUAUAUAAUAAGGAAGAAGAAAUCAGAGAAGAGAGUUGAGAGAAUGAAAAAGAGAGAGAGAGAAUGAGAGGAAGAAUUUUUCUUUCUUUUUCUCAGGAUGCUUUUACAUGGGGGUGGGGUAAGAAGCCUUUUAUAAGCUUCAUAAUAUGAACUCCCAUUACUCAUCUUAAAGAUGAGUAAAUGGAGUUCAUAAUGGCCAUCAAUGUGGUCAUUCAUUACUUUUCAUUUACAACACUCCCCCUUGGAUGACCACCAUAUUAAAAGAAUACGCCUCAUUAAAACCUUGCUAGUAAAAAACCUUAUAGGAAAAACCUAGCGAAGGAAAAAGAGUACAAUAUUCUUUUCUUGGUAUAUUAAGACUGCCUCAUUAAAAACCUUGCCAGUAAAACCCAGUAGGACAAAACCUGGACGAAGGAAAAAAGAGUACAAUACAUUAACACCCUUUUACAAGCAUACUCCCUCUCAUGUCGAUAUCCUUGAGUUGACGCAUUCCAAUCAUGUGUAUUAACUUCUUGAAUGUUGAGGUUGGCAAUGAUUUUGUGAAUAAAUCUGCUAGAUUAUCACUUGAGCGUAUUUGUUGCACAUCAAUUUUACCACUCUUCUGGAGUUCAUGUGCAUAAAAGAAUUUUGGUGAAAUGUGUUUAGUUCUAUCUCCUUUAAUAUAACCCCCUGUUAUUUGUGCAAUGCAUGCAACAUUAUCUUCAAAUAAUGUUGUCGGGUCACCUUUGAUAGAGAAUAGUCCACAUGAUUCCCGAAUAUGCUGGAUCAUAGAUCUUAGUCAUAUACAUUCACGACUUGCUUCAUGAAUUGCCAGUAUUUCUGAAAGAUUUGAUGAUGUGGCUACCAUUGUUUGUUUGACAGAUCUCCAUGAAAUAGCAGUACCAUUGCAAUUAAACACAUACCCUGUUUGUGAUCUACCUUUAUGUGGAUCUGAAAGAUGUCCUGCAUCUGCAUAUCCAAGCAAUUGUUGUUUUGAUUCCUUUGAAUAGAAUAAAUUCAUAUCAGUAGUUCCGCGAAGAUAACGCAAUAUAUGUUUGAUACCAUUCCAAUGUCUUCGAGUUGGAGCAGAACUGUAUCUUGCUAAUAAAUUGACAUAAAAAGCAAUGUCUGGACGUGUAUAAUUGGCAAGAUACAUAAGUACACCAAUAACACUAAGAUAUGGUACUUCAGGACCAAGUAACUCUUCAUCCUUUUCGCAAGGAUGAAAUGGGUCCAUUUUUCACAUCAAGUGAUCGGACAACCAUUGGAGAACUUAAAAGAUGCGCUUUAUCCAUAUAAAAACGCUUCAAAACUUUCUUAAUGUAUGUUGAUUGAUGUACUAAAACUCUAUUUGGAAAAUGCUCGAUCUGCAGGCCAAGACAAAAUUUUGUUUUUCCAAGAUCUUUCAUCUCAAAUUCCUUUUUCAAGUAAUUUGUUGUUCUUGUGAGCUCUUCAGGAGUUCCAACAAGAUUUAAGUCAUCAACAUACACUGCAAUAAUUGCAAAUCCGAUUUCUGAUUUCUUAAUGAAGAUGCAUGGGCAUAUAGGGUUAUUCACAUACCCUUCUUUUAGCAAGUAUUCACUAAGGCUUAUUUGUGCCUCUUCUAGGGCUAUAGAUUUAUCAAUUUUAAACUGAUCAGUCAUUUUGAUGGCCUCUUCUAGAAUGCCAAGUUUUUCUUGGGUUCUCCUCUUUCGGGGAGUUACAUCCUUUGAGCCGACAUGUCUACCACACUUCAGGCGUAUCUUAGAUUCAUUUGUUAAUUGUCUUACAGGGACAUCAAUCCGUGCUAGAGUAUUUGCAGCCGGGAUAUGUGACUUUGUCACUUUCUUUGUAUCAAUGAAUGCAUCUGGUAAUUGAUUUGCAAGAUUUUGCAAAUGAAUGAUCCUUUGAACUUCUAGUUCACAUUGAUUUGUACGAGGAUCAAGAUGGGUCAUAGUAGACGUUUUCCAACUAAUUUCUCAUCGUUCUUCAGGAAUCAACUUUUCUCCCCUUAAUGACGGGAAAACACUCUCAUUAAAAUGACAAUCCGCAAAGCGGGUUGUAAAAACAUCGCUUGUCAAAGGUUUAAGAUAUCUUAUGAUAGAUGGAGAAUCAAAACCUACAUAAAUCUCAAGUCUUCGUUGGGGACCCAUUUAGUGCGUUAUGUAGGUGCAAUUGGUACAUAUACUGCACAACCAAAGAUUCGUAAGUGAGAGAUAUUUGGUUGUUUUCCAAACACAAGUUGUGAAGGAGAGUAUUCAUGGUAAGCUAUAGGUCGAAUACGAACUAAAGCUGCAGCAUGCAUAAUAGCAUGACCCCAGGCGGAAGUAGGUAAUUUGGUUAUCAUUAGUAAUGGUCGAGCUAUUAAUUGGAGACGUUCGAUGAAAGAUUCUGCUAAACCAUUCUGGGUAUGAGUAUGAGCAACAAGAUGUUUAAUAUUUAUCCCUACUGACAUGCAAUAGUCAAUGAAUGUUUGAGAAGUAAAUUCGCCAGCAUUAUCAAGACGUAUUGUCUUAAUUGGAUAAUCUAGAAAUUGUGCUCGUAAUCUGAUUAUUUGUGCAAGGAGUAUAGCAAAGGCUACGUUACGUGUAGAAAGGAAACAAACAUGUGACCAUCUAGUAGAAGCAUCUAUUAAGAUCAUAAAAUAACAAAAUGGUCCACAUGGUUGAUGGAUAGGCCCACAUAUGUCCCCAUGUAUUCUUUCUAAAAAGAUUGGUGACUUAGAUAUGACUUUAAUAAAAGAUGGUCUGAUUAUCAAUUUAUCUUGUGAGCAGGCAACACAUGAGUAUUCAUUGGGCGAAAGAAUCUUUUGGUUCUUUAGUGGAUGCCCAUGUGAGUGUUCGAUUAUUCGAUGCAUCAUUGAAGACCCUGGGUGACCUAGUCUGUCAUGCCAAAGGACAAAAACUUUUGGGUCGUUGAACUUCUGGUUCACGACAACAUAUGAUUCAAUAGACUUUAUAGUUGUAUGAUACAACCCAUAGAAGAAAGCCGGGAGUUUUUCCAUUAUAAGUUUCUGGUCAGAUAUAAUGGAAGUAAUGUAAAGAUAUUCUAUAUUAUCUUCAUUCAUAGUUUCAAUAUGAUAUCCAUUUCUGUGGAUAUCUUUAAAACUGAGCAAAUUUCUUCUGGAUUUGCUAGAAUAUAACGCGUCAUUUAUAUGGAAUCUAGUUCCAUUUGGCAACGUUAUGUUUGCUCUUCCAGAGCCUUCAACUAAGUUUGUAAUACCAGAUAUGGUACUUACAUUAGCUUUUAUUAAUGUCAAUUCGAGGAAAUAUCUUUUAUCUCGAAGAAUUGUAUGCGUGGUCGCACAGUCUGCGAGACAUACAUCAUCCUCAUUCAUCUUGAGACCAAAUAACACAUGGAUUUCAUAUAUAACAAAAAAACAGGGCAUAAUGUAAAUAACAAAGUAAAUCAGAUGUAAAUGUAAGACAUAAUAAUAUAUUAUUAUAUAUAUAAAGUAACAUCAAUCAAUGUUAAUUUUUUCAUCAUUUAUCAAAUGGUCUGUUUUUUCAUUGGGACCUCCAAAGAAAUCAAUGUCAUAGUAGGUUAGGUCUAAUCCAUCACCAUCGGUAAAGUUCAUCUCUAUCUCUUUUCCUUUAACUUUUAUUGAUGCUUGGUAAAGGUCGACCAAAUGUUUGGGCGUACGACAGGUACGUGACCAAUACCCCUUAAUACCACAUCUAUAACAAUAUUUCUUAUGAUUCUUAGGAGGUUUAUCUUGUAAAUGCUUCCCAUUUUCUUAUUUUGCCUCAGUAUUGUUCCAUUUCGUAUUGUUCCACUUCUAGUGGUGCAAUGAGGCUUUCAUUUUCUGAGAAUUAUUACUAUAAGAACCAUGAUAUCGAGGAUUUCUUUCACAACCAUAAUCACGUUCUCAUCCACGUCCACGAGUUUGGGACGAUAUUGCAUUCACUUCAGGGAAUGAUUCAAAUCUAGUUGGAUGAGACUGGUGAUUUUUCAUCAAAAGCUCUUUUUUUAUAUAAAAAAAAAAACCUUCAUGGAGAUGAUGACGAAGGAAAAUCAAUGCUUUUGCGCGAUCCUGCAGGGAUGCUUGAUUUCCUUGUUUGAUCGUAGCUCCAAGGUCCAUUACAUCAAGAUGUAAUUUAGUAUCAAGGAUCCAUGAUAGAUAGUUCUUUCCUGAAGUGUCAAGUGCCACAAAUUCGAGUUUUGUGAUAUUCGACAUUGUAAAAUAACUUCAUAUAUAUGACAAAACAAUAUUAUUAGAAUCAGUUAUAAUAACUUGAUAGCAUUGGUAUAACUUUGAUUAUAAACAAAAUCAAAUAAUUUGUUUAUAACUUUUAACAAUAUGUAACAAAACAAAUCAACAAUAAUAUAAAUAUGCAAAAUUUUAUUCUAUAUAAAUAACUUCAAGUUUAAGAUACGAGAAUUACCUUCAGAGCAAUUCGUGCUAAUAACGUGUUGUAAAACAAGGACAAAUACAGUACAAAUCAAAGUAGUAGAGAUUAAAUAUAUCUUACUUUGAUAUAUAAUAAGAAAGAAGAAAUCAGAGAAGAGAGUUGAGAGAAUGAAAAAGAGAGAGAGAGAAUGAGAGGAAGAAUUUUUCUUUCUUUUUCUCAGGAUGCUUUUACAUGGGGGGGUAAGAAGCCUUUUAUAGGCUUCAUAAUAUGAACUCCCAUUACUCAUCUUAAAGAUGAGUAAAUGGAGUUCAUAAUGGCCAUCAAUGUGGUCAUUCAUUACUUUUCAUUUACAACAUAAACAUAUUUUUUAAAAUUUGUCAUAAUUUUUUUUUUCAACUAUACUUUAGAGUGCAUUUUAUAUUGAUUUUAAGAAGCGUUUCUACCAUUUAUAAUAUUUGAAAGUUUUUAUGAAAUUUUUUAUUUUUAAAGUAUUAGAAAUAUUAAAAAACACUUCUUAAAAUCACUACCAAACAUAUUCUUAUAAUGCGAGUAAUGAUUUUAGUAAGUGUAACACUAAAAAAAUUUCAUUAUUUAAGUAUUAUAAAUCUCAAAAAUACUUCUUAUAAUUAUUGUCAAACUCACUUUUAUAAUCCAAACAUAUAUUUUGGUGAAAUAUUUAUAUUAAAAUAAUAAGAUAUGAAAUGAAAAACAUAAGAAAAAAAAUUAAAGAAAAGGAAAAAAAUUUAAAAAGCUAAUAUCCAAAAUUGAAAAUUAUUUUCCUUUCUAACAAAAUAUUCCUAGUAUUUGCAUCAGGUUUAUUCCUUAUAUUUUCUUGUUUUAACUAUCAAUUUUAAAUAAAAAUAAAAUACUUGUGGCACAAAUUUAUCUUAUUGUUAUUUUUAUGGCAAUUAAAUAAGAAAAAAUAAAAUUUCUUUCAUUUUACAAACUUGAAUAAAAAAUUUCUGCUAUUGCAGGAUACGUAUUUUGAAGAAUCGUGGACUAGGUAAUGCGCUAAUGAUAUCAAUGCAAAGUCGGACAAGCCAAGUGCUUUUAGGGGAAGAAUCCUUAAAGCCACUGUUGACCCCAAAAUUUGUCUUGAUUUUUAUUUUUACAUUAAUUUUAAGUCAAAUUUUGUCAUCAAAUUUUAAAUCCCGAUUACAUGUGAUAUUUUUGGCUCACUUAUCCUUUAAUUCUUAAUUUUUAUUAUUUUGUUUUUUUUGUUAUUAUUAUUUAUAUUAUAUAUAUAUAUAUUAUUAUUAUUAUUAUUAUUUUUUCUUUCUCUUUCCUCUCUUUUCUCUUCACCCACCUAUCCUCCACCAACCCUCACCUACCCCCAUGCUCUCCCACGUCCAAAACUCCCGCUCUCCACCCUUCAUCUUUCUUUUUUCCUUUUUUUAUUGAUUUUUUUUCUCCCUCCAUUUCCCGAGAUUGGCGGGCCCUCCCCCAAUUGGUUUCCCUUCAUUUUUUUCCCUCCCAUUCCCGCCAUUUCCAAGAAAAGGUGGUCGACUCUUCCUUCUCUCUAGGCUCUUUCCUCUUCUUUUUUUGGCUUAUGGGGGGCUUUGGUUUUUUGGGAGGAGUUUUUUCCCCCUUACUCUCACGGGGUCAACCCCCAAUUUUUUUUUUCUUUACCCCUCCGUUCACUCUAUCUCUGUAACUCCCUACUACGGACUCCUAUUCACUGCCGGCCCAUCUCCCCAUUUCAUCCCUCCGAUUUUUUUUUCUUUUCUCUUCUCUCCCCCAUCGGCACACUUGGCUGCCCAUCCUCCAGCUCCUUUCUUCCAUUUUUAUAUUUAUUUAUUUAAUUACUAUUAUUAUUAUUUUCUCUUUCCCUCCUUAAACUCUCACACUAUCAACGGUGUGACGUAGGUGCCUUUUCCCGCGCCCCCUCCAUCCCCAUUUUCUCCCAUUUUAUUUAUUUAUUUUUAUUUAUCUUUAUUUUAUUUUAUUUUUGUUUCCAAAAAGCCAUUCACUACCGCCGGCAAGGUCACUGACGACCUCCUUCCUUUUUCUCUCAUCCUCUCACUUUCCCAUAUCACUCAUUUUCCAUUUUUAUUGUUACUAUUAUUAUUAUUACUACUACUACUAUUUUUUUUCUUUUCUUUCUCUUUCUUGAUUUGAUUUUAAUAGCAUUUGUAGUUUAUAAAAUUUGAAUUAUUAGAUUAAUAUGUACUUUGGGUUAAUUUAUUGUUGGUGGAUUAAUUUGAAAUUUGUUAAUUUGGAUUUGUGGGCAUAUUGCAUUUGGUGAUUAAUUUGGGAUAUUUGGAUUAUAUCAAUAGCAUAUUGUUUGUUUUAUUUGAACUUGGGUUUAUUGCUUAUAGGUUAUUUGUUUGAGCUUAUUAGAUUUGGCUUGAAAUGUUAUUUCCUUUGACCAUAUGUAUUAUUCAUGUGGCCUAUUGGUAAUUGGUUAUUUGUUUGGGCUUAUUGGAUUGAGCUUAAGAUAUUAUUUUAUUUGGUCAUGUGUAUUAUUAAUGUGGGCUUGUUAAUUGAUGUGAAUUUUGGGCCCACAAUAUGGGUGAGAUUUAUUGAAUGAUUUGAAUAUUUGAUAUGAGCUUGGUCUAUUAGAAUUAUUUAAUUUGGACAUGGGAUAAUUAUGAUGCAUAUUAAAUUAGACUUGGAUUAUGAAAUAUCAAAUUUAGGCAUAAUAAGAUUUAUUUUAAUUUAUUGUGUUUUGGGUUUGAUUAAUUGAAUUUAUAUUUUGGUUAUUAAUUUAGAAAUUUUAGAUUAUGGUAUAUGAUAUGUGAGAUAUUUUUAUUGGGUUAUAUUUGUUAAUUUGGACCCAUUUAUAAUUGGUGAAAUUUAUUAGAUUAAUUUGAAGUUUGAAUUUGGGCUUGAAUAAUUAUUUUCGACUCUACAUAUUUUUGAAUACUUACACAUUUUUAUUUUUGCAUGGAUCCGAUCUGCAAUCUUGUUGGUUGAGUACGAAUUUAUGACACGUGGAGCUUGUUGUAAGUUUAUUUUCCACUUUUAUUUGGCUUUAUUUUUAUUAGUUCUUGUAAAUAUUCGUUUGUAUAUACUUAUUGAGGGUGUACAGAAUUGAACAUCGAACAAACUAGAAAUUUUGUUUAAAUGAAAUGAAGAUGUCACUAAAUGUGUUUUGAUAAAAUAUCAAUUUUAAAAUAUUAUUUUUAAUAAAAUAAAUUUUUUUUAUUUAUUUAUAAAAAUUCAGAAAAAUGCAUUUAGAAAAACCCCAAAAAAUUGUUUUCAAUGGAGUUUGAAAAUUUGUUUUUAAAUAAUAUUUGUCCAAAAUUUUCUUUGUUUAAUAAAAAUUGUCCAAAUAUUGUUUUGUAAAUAAAGUUGUCCAAAAAAUUAUUUUUUAAUAAAAUUGUCCAAAAAAUGUUUUUUUUAAAUGAAUUCUUUUUCCUUAAUUAAAAUGUGAUUAAAAGUAUUUUUUAGAAACAGAUGAUUUAAAUCUUUUUUUCUUUUUAAUUAAGAUUUCUUUUGCAAAUAAAGUUACGUUUUUUUUUUUUAAUAAUUUGUAUAAAUCACUUUUUUUAAAUGAAAAUAAAUUGAAAUAUUUUUGUAAAUAAAAUUGUAAAAAUUCAUUUUUUUAAAUAAAAAAAACAAGUAAAAAUAAUUUUUGUGUCCAAAUUGAAAUUUGUAAUGAAUUCUUUUGAUACAAUAAGUGUAAAUAACUUUUUUUGAAAAUUAAAUACAAAUGAAAUUGAAUCAAAUCACUUAAAAAAAUAUUUUGUAAAUAAAUAAAUUGAAAUCACUAAUUCAAAAUCAUUUUUAAUAAAAUCCUUUGAGAUUUCUUGAAAACUAUUUUUUUUAAUAUUUUUAUUUAUUUAUUUAUUUAGUUCAAUAAAUCAUUUUGUAUCAUUCUUUUGUCAUUUAUUUUGUGUAUUAUUAUAAUUAGAUUUCUUCAUUAUUUUUGUGUAUAUUAAUUUUUAUCGUGACUUCUAUAUUGAUUAUUUUUCUCGAUAUCCAUAAUUAAUUAAUUAAUUGUCACAAUUCCCUUAAUUCGUUUAAUAGAGGCAGUAUAUAUACGAGUUUAGAGGGGUGCUAUGGCUUACCACCGUACUUUCUUAAUAAGUAACCUGACUCCCGGAACCAAAUUCGGUUUUUCAUAAACUUGUUUUUCCUUUAGGAGUCACACUUAGUGUUUUUAUUUUUUAUUUUGUUUUUCCUUUUUAAAAUAAAAUAAAAAUAAGUAGUUAUUCCAAGUUUUUUUUUUCUAAAAAUCAAAUUUUCACCAAAUAAAAUAGAAAACAAGUUUCUCCAUCGAGUGGGAAUGCAUCGAACAAAAAUGCGAGGUUUAUAGCCACACUCUUGAUCCAAUGUUUUUUCAUAAGCACCUCCGUUAUUUCAGAAUUUGAAAAGCCCGGGAGCUAUUGCAUUCACUCUGAUAUUAUGCAUUCCAAGUUCCAUAGCCAUGACCUAGUAUUGUCAACGUGUUAUGGUCCAAUAAUAAAUUCAUUCUUUAAUACCAAAUUCAAUAAAUAGAAAAGAUGGUAAAUCAAAUCUAUAAAUAGAAUAAUAAUACUAGGAAAUAAUUGUCCAUUAAUAAUGUUACAUAAAGUUCUACUUAAGAAUGAUUUGAUUUUAUAUAAAUAUUGUAAAAUGUUGAUAUCUAGUAAUGGACUAUAAAAGCCAAUAUUGGGUUUUAUAAACUAUAUAUGAAAAUUAAUGAAUAUUUAACAAGGGAUUAAUUAUUAUUAUAGUACGAAAGAAUAUUUAGGAUUGUGUUAUUAGAUUAAAAUACAAGUGGGUAUUUUGUAAAAUAUGUAUAUUUGAAAUUCUAAAUUGUUUUCCUAAAGAAUCCAAUCACGCCCUCAUUUUGGCUUACCGGGAAGUAACAAUUCAUUUUGAAAUAUGAAAAGUUCAUAAUAAGUAAACACAGUUCAUCAUUCAUACACAUUUACUUCCAAAGUUAAAAUAUAAUAAAUAUAUAAAUAAAUUGAAUUAAAAAAUAUUAUAAAUUUACAACAAAUUGUAAAAUUAUAAAAGUUGUAAAUGUUGUCACCUCGCGUAUCCGGUGGUCCACGUUGCUGCUAGAUGGAUGGACACGCGAUUCUCAACACACAAGGGGUUCUUGAUUCAGUGGUUGUACCUGCAAAAAGGCAUCCGGACAGGGUGUCCGGAUGCACCCUCCGAUGAUGUUGUUAGCCAUAGUAAGAGAGUAAGAUAUAUGAGGCAGUUGGCCUUUUACUAGGUAUCAAGAGGUUACCAGGAGAUCAUCCCUUUCUUCUUCGUGUGAAGUCAUAUAUAUACAGCUUCAGGGGUACUGUUCCUCUCAUUAAUGGUGAGGAGAUAUUUUCUAUUGUGAUGAUGACAAUAGGUGUUAGUAGGAGCAUUAUCAUCCUACGAAUGGCUGUCAGAGACCAUGGUAGGUGAUGCGGCUGUCAGAGAUCGUGGGAAGUGAUUAUGUAGAAUGAUCGUGGGAAGUGACUUGCUGUCACUUCCUCUUGUCUUCUCAUUCUGCAGGUAAUGGGAUGUGGGCCAUGGCUGCUUGUUGUGAUUGCGUGUAAGACUCGCUUUACUUUAAUUGACCAUCCAGACGAUUUAUAUCCGGAUGGAUCAUGUUGAUUAUCCGGAUGUGUUGUGGAGACUAUCCGGGUGUCUACGCUCUGCCAGCGUCGUUUGCUCUUCCUUGGAUAGGAGAAGCUGAAACGUCGUUUACCUUUCCUUGAGGGGUUCCGGAUAGGAUAGCCGCACCAUGCAUAUCUUUAGGAGAAUCCGGAUGAUGAUGGUCCGGCUGAUAGCACGUGCCACGCGUCACCAUGAGCUGCGUGCCACGUGUUUCCCAAGGGGAGGGGUCCCUACAUUGCCCCCCUUUUUAACUUGCCUAUUUUGCCUAAAAAAUGGGCGGGUUAAAAAUAACUGGGUUUUUGAAAAUUGAAAAAGUCCAUUCGUCUAACUUGGCCACGUGGCGAGUGAGGGUGCGGAAGCCAAAAAAGGCAUUUAUGGCGAGCCGCCGACCCUGUGUAUCCCCAGGCAAUAUGUCGUUUCAAUGAUAACAUGGCUGUUGGUUUGGCUUUCCGAGGGGCUGUCCUGCUAUAAAUAGGGCACUGUACCUCUUUUUGUAUUUUUUCUACUGCAUUCUCUUGAGAGCCUUCCUUCUUCUUACUUUUUUCUGCGUCCUUUGCUUUUCUGAGAAAAACUUCGAACGACCUCGUUUGUUUGUUGCCGGUGAUUUUAUACCGAGAGAGUAACCGUUGUUUUUCUUCAGAGCUCUAUUUGGUACGUACCUCUUUGCUACUGUCAUUCCUUUGGUUGCGUUUGCUGGUUCUUUAAACUUGGUUCCUGGCUUUGUUUUGGACAAGUCGCUUGCAAUUGUUUGUUGAAUGUUGGUACUUUGUUGUUUGUUUGGAGGGGUUUUUGAGGGGUUUUUCUGACUGCUUUGGGUUAGGGUUUGUGUAUUUUCUGAUUGCUUGGUCUGAACCGUUUGCAUUGCUUUUGCGUGCAGAUUUUACUUUGGCUUUGUGGUGAGAAAUGGCUCCAAAAAAGACUGUUUCGUCUGUCCGGGUCAACGAGGCUGGCGAAAAGGCGAUAGAUAAACUAAAUGCGAAGGAGUUCCGGGAGCGAUUCCGCAUCCCCCAUGACGUAUUGAUAGACUUGGUGAACGAGGAGGCGGCUAUGCCUACUGAGAAAGGUGGAAAAAACGUUAUCCUCUUCACAAAGGAACAAUUCAACGCGGGGCUCCGGUUCCCUCUGCCGUCGUUGUUCAAGGAAUUCCUCUACUUCUCUCAGAUUCCACCCAUCUUCAUUCAUCCCAACCUUGUCCGGGUGCUGAUGGGAUGCAGCAUCAUCAACAUGCUGUACAGCCUCGACCUUACACUACUGGAGUUGUUCUUUGUCUAUUCCCUGAAGAAAGCAAAGAAUGAUAUCUUCAGUGUGUCCGCUCACCUGCCCUCCCUUCAAAUGGUGACAGAACUGCCAGAUUCGACAAAGGGAGGGGCGAAGGGGCUGGUGGCAGUCUGGGGUGGAUGGGCGGGGCUAUCGCAGCAUCCGUCGAGGCCUUUUUCUCCGAAUUAUACCUUAAAAAUUCCGGGUAAUCUUGUUUUGCGACUUUUUUGUGUCCGGAUUUUGCUUUGCUGAUUUUUUUCUGAUUUUUCCGGACGGAAUUCUCACCUUUUGUUGCUGACAACGCAGGUUUGGAAUUGAGGGGCCACCUUGUGGAUUGGGUGGAAAAGACAUCCUUUGCCUGCGUCUGCAAAUUAUUUGAAAUAGACCCCAAGGAGAGGGCCUACAAAACAUUGCUUUCCGCGCGGAAUUUGACAGAGGUCGUCCGGGAGCCCCAGGAAUAUGUUAUCAAUAUUCUUCCUAGGAAACUGGCAAAGGAUGAGAUAGUGCCUGGGGAGCAUUACACUGUGAAGGAGCUCCCCCUCUAUCAGGAAGCUAAAGAGGCUGACGCUGAAAGGCGGCGAAAGCUCCUGGAGGAUAGAGAUCAGAAAAAAACUGAAGGCACUAUCCGGAAGGCUCCCGGACAGAAGCGGGGUCCGGACUCUCCUCCAAAGAAAACUUCAGGAAAAAGGGGGAAGCUGGUGAAGAAGCAUGGGAAGGACAUGAAGGAACCCACUCCUCCCAAGGAGUUUCCUUCUCCCCAAACUGCCUAUGAGGGGGAAGUAAUGAUAGAGGAGCCAGUAAAUGCUGCUCCGCACUCUAUCUCAAGCGGCCCCGGACGCAUGUCGGGUUUGAAUCACUCAGGUCCUUCCUUGGUCGCGGCUGCGCGUCUGGCUAACGUGGCUGAGGAAGCUGCAUCUAUCAACCGUCCGGGCAACCUUAAUCCGGAUGCUGAUGCAGCUGAAACGGCCCCGUUGGAGGAAGCGGGAGCAGAAAGCCAAAGUCAGCCUUCCGACGACCCGGAUCGCCUGGCCAUAGUCCUGGUGAAAGGGCCUCCCCUCAAGAAGUCGCGUUUGACGCGCGAUCUACAGUCCGGACUCUUUGAGCGGCUUCAAGAGCGGCAGCAAGAGAUUGAAAUUAGCUGCGCUUCUGCCCAUGACGCUCAUCCGGAUGGAGGCGAGGUGGAGAUGGCUACUGAGACCUCAGCCGCCCCGGCAAUAAUUCCGGCUGAGGAUGCAUCCGGACCUAUGUGUCCGGACGAAGAUAUGGGGGUUCCGAUUCCGGGACAAGAGUUACCCUCUGCUUCCUCACCUGAGGAGGAAUCUGCUGACGAUGCCGCUCCUACUAGCCCUUUCAGCUACGCGGAGUUGGAAGUUAAGUUAAAGCAGAUUACUCCUGAUUGGAGAGCCAUCAAGCCCUCUGCUCAGAUGUUUGAUAUGAUAGAAACGGUAUAUCGUUGUCUUGUGUUUUUGCUUUUUGACUUUUUGUUGCACUGAUGUGUUUGUUGUAGUAUGAUUUAUGUCUUUGCUUUUCUUGUUUGUGUGUCAGCUGGUGAGGGGCCUCCGUAGCAUGUCUCAACAACACGAUCUUUUUACUCAGCUGCUGCAGACUGCAGACUAUAUGAGGACCUUCUCCUCUCGGCGCCAAGAGAUUGAAAAUCAACUGCGUCUGAGAAUGGAGGAGGCUGAGGCCAGUCUAUCCACCAUGCGAGAGGAAAAUGAAGCCCUCCGGGUGGAGUUGGCUGAGGCAAAGGGUCGAGAAGAAUCAACUGCGGGUCGCCUUCAUGAGGCGGAGGGUGAGGCAGCCCGGCUAAGGGAUGAAUUGAGUCAACUCCGGACAGAGGUUUUGAAUGAAAAGAAACAGAAGGAAGACUUGCAGCUGCGUCUGGAUGUGCAAAAAGAGGAACUUGAACGGGAGUUUGCUGUGGAAAGGGAGGAACUUGCAGCGGAUUACCAGAAACAAGUGGAUGAUACAUUUAUCUUUGGGUAUCGCUGCUGCAUGAAGAAGAACGGUAUAAAGCGAGAUACCCCUUCAAUUCCUCCAAGUGAAGAAAAGAAGCUCCAUGAGAAACCUGCUCCCUGAUAGUUUAUCUCUUUUUGCAAUUUUUCUGCUGUAAUUUUUCCUUCUGUAUUUUCUUGUGGUCCGGAGAUCUCUUUGUAAUUACAUUUAUUCAUAUCAAUAAAACAUACUUCUUUCUCAUUUGCACUUGUGUAUACUUUUUACUGAUAGUACUGCUUUAAAUUGGACACAUUCCAUGGUCUGAGUAACGGAGUGCCAUCUAGCUUUUGUAAAUGAUAGGCUCCAUUUUCAUUUGCCUUAGACACUAUGUAGGGUCCUUCCCAAUUGGCUUGAAACUUUCCUGCGCCUACUUCAGCAGUAUUUUCAAAAACUUUUCUAAGUACUAGCGUACCAUUUUUGAAGUUUCUGGGCCUGACUUUUCGAUUGUAAUGCGCUGAUGCCCUUUGUUGAUAAUCUGCCAUCCGGAUGGACGCGCUUUCUCUGACUUCAUCUGCCCAGUCCAAAUUUCUUCCUAGUUCCGUGUUGGCGUCUUUUUGCUUUGCUGCAUCAGUCCGGAUAGUAGGAAGACCUAUUUCAGUGGGAAUGACUGCAUUCAUUCCAUAUGUGAGGGCAAAAGGAGUAUUUCCUGUUGGUCGUCCGGGUGUGGUUCAAUAGGCCCACAGGACGCCGGGUAGCUCCUCCACCCACUUCCCUUUGGCUUGCUCCAGCCUUUUCUUUAAGGCAUUGAUUAGAGUUUUGUUUGUGACUUCCGCCUGGCCAUUGCUUUGAGGAUAACGUGGCGUGGAGUAUGAAUUCCGGAUAUUCAAUUCCGAACAGAAAUUCCUGAAUGCAAUGCUGUCAAAUUGUGGACCAUUGUCAGCUAUGAUGAUUUGGGGAAUUCCAAAGCGGCAAACAAUGUUCUUCCAUACGAAUUUGGUGACAUCUUUAUCUUUGAUGCUUGCAUAUGCUUCAGCUUCUACCCAUUUACUGAAGUAAUCAGUGGCGACAAGGAGGAAUUUCUUCUGGGCAGGUGCUGCUGGGAGGGGUCCUACAAUGUCCAUGCCCCAUUGCGCGAAAGGCCAUGGGCCUGAGACCGAUUUUAAUGCGGCUGAUGGCAUGCGUGGAAUGGGAGCGUAUCUUUGACAUUUAUCGCACUUUUGGACAUAUGCUGCCGCGUCUUUCUUCAUUGUUGGCCAAUAGUACCCUUGUGAAUGAGCUCUAUGUGCUAGGGAUCGUCCUCCCGUAUGAUUUUCGCAUAUUCCUUCAUGUAAUUCAGCUAGCACAUACUGGGCCUCUGAAUGCCCAAGACAGCAAAGAUAAGGCCCUGUGAAAGAUCGCUUGUACAGGUGCCCCCCAAUCAGGGUGAAGCGGGCAGCCUACACCCGGAUUUUGUGCGCUUGUUUAAGAUCUUUGGGUAAAGUGCCUGUCCGGAGAUAUUCUGCAAUAUCAUGCGUCCAUUCUUGAUUAUCCGUUUGGGUUGCUUCAACGGUGUUGCAAGUGGAAUUUUCUGCGACAGAGGGAUGGGCUUGCACAUGUAUGGGCAAUAGAAUGGCUUCUUUGAUAGGUAGAGAGGCAGCUAUGCCGGCCAAAGCGUCAGCGUGCCUAUUGUCAGCUCGCUUAAUUUUUUCGAUUGUCCACUCGUUGAAUUGCUGUAAGGUGCUUCUUACUUUGGCCAAGUAUCGCGCCAUGCGUGAGUCCUUAGCCUCAUAUUCUUUCUGGAUGUGCCUUACCACUAGUUGCGAGUCGCUGUAGAUCCGGAUUUUGGAGACGGAUAGAGCAAGGGCGAGGUCCAAUCCGGACAGGAUGGCCUCGUAUUCUGCCUUAUUGUUAGACGCGGAGAAUCCCAGCCGGAUGGCUUGCUCCAGAUGUUCCCCAGUUGGGGAAUGUAAUACGAGCCCAACUCCAGAGCCUGAUAAGCGUGAGGCUCCGUCAACUCGUAGUGUCCACCAGUCCUGUUCACUUGAUUCGUGGUGCUGGUUGGGUCUUCGUGAAUAUUCGAGCACAAAGUCGGCCAUUACUUGGCCUUUUUUGGAUAAUCUGGGUUGGAAUUCGAUUCCAAAUUCGCUCAGUUCGAUGGCCCAUUGUAGCAUUCGCCCAGUUAAAUCUGGUUUGUGUAGAAUGCUACGAAGGGGUUGGUCGGUUAGUACAAUCACUGGGUGGGCUUGAAAAUAGGGGCGGAGCUUUUGGGCAGCACUUCGAAGAGCUAAGGCUGUUAGCUCCAUUUUUGAAUACCUGGUUUCUACAUCUACCAAUGCCCUGCUGACAUAGUAGACAGGUUUCUGCUCCUUUGGUGAAGGGCAGCGGAAUAGAGCGGCGCUGAUUGCCCAUUCUGAGACAGCUAGAUACAUAUAUAGCUUCUCCUUUGGGAUGGGGCUGCUCAAGAUGGGUGGAUGCAUAAGACAAUGUUUAAUUCUUUCCAACGCGUUUUGGCAAUUUUCCGUCCAUCCCUGCGUUCCAGCUUUUCAUAUCGCUAAGAAGAAGGGUCGCAACUCAUCAGUGAAGCGGGCUAUAAAACGCCCUAACGCAACGAGCUUGCCUAUGAGGCGUUGUAACUCCUUUUUGUUCCUGGGAGGAGGUGUCUCCAUGACUGCUUUGACUUGAUCCGGGCUGACUUCUAUGCCUCUUUGGCUGACCAAAAAUCCCAGAAACUUGCCAGCACUCACGCCAAAGGCACAUUUGGAAGGAUUUAGCUUCAUGCCAUACUUUCGCAAGAGGUAAAAAACUUCUUGUAAAUGGAGGAUAUGCUGCUCUCGAGUUUUGCUUUUUACCACGAUAUCGUCAAUGUAUACCUCGACCGAGCGGCCUAUCAGAGGUUUGAAGAUUUUAGUCAUCAAUCUUUGAUACGUGGCGCCAGCGUUUUUGAGUUCGAAUGGCAUGACUUUGUAGCAAUAGAGGCCGUGUGGCGUUAUGAAUGCUGUUUUUUCUUCGUCAUCCGGAGACAUGGGAAUUUGGUGAUAUCCGGAGAAGGUAUCCAAGAAAGAGAGCAUCCCUUGCCCGGAAGUGGAAUCCACAAUUUGAUCUAUCCGUGGUAAGGGAAAACUGUCUUUUGGACAUGCAUUAUUGAGAUUGGUGUAAUCAACAAAGACUCGCCAUUUGCCCUCUUUCUUUGGUACCACUACUACAUUUGCCAACCAAUCCGGAUAAGAUACCUCUUUGAUGAACCCGGCUUCCAACAAUUUGUUAAUUUCAUCUUGGAUAACUCUUUGUCUAUCCGGGUGAAAGCGUCUAAUCUUCUGUCGAAUGGGUCUGGCUGUUGGAAAGACGUUAAGCUUGUGAGAGGCGAUAAAGGGAUGAAUUCCCUUCAUAUCCGAAUGUGUCCAUGCGAAGAUGUCAUGGUUGCUUCGAAGGAUAUUUUGUAUGCUCUGGGUUUCUUCUUGUGUCAUGAGGGAACUGAUGUUUGUGAGGUGAUCAUUCUCUUCUGAGAUUUGGAUUGUUUGUAAGGGAUCUGCUGCCGGGGGAUCCUUGUCCACCGGACCCAAUAAUUGCUAUUGGUCGUGUGCAAUGCUAGGUUCAGGGGGAGAUGCAUCCUCCUGGUUAGCGACUGCUUCACGUGCUAUUUGGUAGCACUGGCGAGCGGCUAACUGGCUGCCAUACAAGUCAGUUUGCCCUUCGUUGGUGAGGAAACUCACCAUUUGAUGAUAUGUGGAAGGGAUGGCUUUCAUGUAGUGAAGCCAUGUGCGUCCCAAGAUGACAUUGAAGGGUGACAACUCUUGCACCACCGAGAAUUGCACGUUGAGAGUGACUGGUCCAGCUCGAACCGGCAGUAUAAUGUCUCCUAAAGAUGUUGUUGAUGAUCCGUUGAAUCCGGAUAAGAUUCGUCCGGGGUUUUCGAGACCCGCGAGACUAUGUCCCAUAUGGCCAUGACUGAUGCUNNNNNNNNNNNNNNNNNNNNNNNNNNNNNNNNNNNNNNNNNNNNNNNNNNNNNNNNNNNNNNNNNNNNNNNNNNNNNNNNNNNNNNNNNNNNNNNNNNNNCGGAUAAGAUUCGUCCGGGGUUUUCGAGACCCGCGAGACUAUGUCCCAUAUGGCCAAUGACUGAUGCUUGUACUAGAUCGGCUGAACUGCCUGGAUCAACCAAGAUACGUCUUACAUCAAAAUCUCCUAUUUCUAGAGAGAGGAUGAGGGCGUCGCGAUGUGGCUGUAGCGUCCGGGUGGGAUCUACUGGUGGGAAAAUGAUUGUCCCAUCAAUGGGGCGAGGGCCCUCCCCAGUAAGACCCGGCCGGAUGGAAUUAAUGCUUUCGCGUAUUGACGCGGCUCGCAGCAAUUUCUGUCUUUUCCGCCUGGAAUCGUAUUCCUCGUCAGAUGGGCCCCCGUUGAUAUAGUUUAUGACAGCCUUGGGGGCGACUGGGGCCCUCGGGGCCCCAGAGUUAUGAUGCUGUGAUGCGUCCCUUCCUCCAGUAUCUGAGCGGAGGUACUGUUUUAAAUGUCCUGCUUUGAUGAGCCUUUCAACUAGAUACUGGAGGGACCGACAUGUCUCUGUUGUAUGACCAUGGUCUUUGUGGAAGGCGCAUUUCUUGCUGCGGUCUCUUAUAGAUGGGUCCGUUUCGAGGGGUCUAGGCCACCUGAAGUCGGACAACCCUUGGAUCAUUGGGAGAAGUUUUUCGUAUGAUAUGGAUAGGGGUGUGAUGGGCGGCCUAUCCGGAUGACUCGGCCCUUCCUGCCUUCGGUCAACUGGUUUUGGCCGGUCCGGAGGUUUGGCAUGUCUGUCCGCGUUAUCUCUAGAAGCCCGUCCGGCAACUAAAACUUGCUGAGUGGCUGCACGUACGUCAUCUUCGAGCAUUGAAUAUUUGUUAGCGCGUCUGAACAAAUCGUCCAUCGUUGUAGGAGGUUUUUUUACCAGCGAUUCGAAAAAUGGGGUGCCUGGACAGAUGCUUCUUUUGAAGAUCUGUAGGACAGCGUCCAUGCUGCAAACCUCUAUUUGGAGUACGGCUUGGCCAAAUCGUUUCACAAAUUCCCUCAAGGAUUCGUUGUCUCUCAUUUUUAUGUUCUGGAGGGUGCUGAUAUUCUGCUUGUGUCGAGCAGAGCAUAAGUACUGUCCCACGAAUGCUUCAGAGAGGUCCCUGAAAUUGUCAACAGAGUUAGGAGGUAGGCGAUGAAACCAUGAGAGGGCCUGCCCUUGAAGGCUGGCGGGGAAUACUUUGCAUAAUAAUGCAUCGUUGCCAAUAUCGAGCGUCAUAAGCUGUCGAUAGUGCAUGAUGUGAUCGAAGGGAUCGUUGGUCCCAUCGUAUGUGGAAAACUUUGGUACGAGGAAUCCUCUUGGGGGCUCGUAAUGGGUGAUAUGAGAGCAAAAGGGCGUGGAGAGCAUGUCAUCCAGCCUUUUGCUGAUGGAGCCAAUGGGUAGCUCGUUUGGGAGGUUUCUCCCAGCUGGUCGUUCCGCUAGGUGUGAGUGAACGUUCCGCAUCGCUGGGGUGACCAUGGGGUCACGAUGCGGAGGUACGUUCUGCACCAUGGGAGCAAUCAUAAGAUCGGGGCGUGGCGCCCGGGUUGUGGCUACUGGUGGCCUUGAUCUCCCAGGCUCUUGUGGGCCUAGUCUUGCGCGCAUAGAACUUGACAACUGUGAUUUUCUAUCACGUUGUCUUUUUGCUGAAAAAUGAGUGGAAUCUGAGCUUUCCUCACGGGGAGCUCGAGGCAUGGGUGUGCGUGGCUCAUGGGGCCUUGUGUUGUAUGUUCCUGGGACAGCUCCUGUUGACCCAGGAUAUAUUGAUUCUGGCUCUGGCCUUGAGUUUGCCACCUGACCUUUUGAGCGCUGACGACGAGGAGGUCCUGAUGUUGAGGCUUGAAUCGUAACACAACGUUUUCUUCCCUUAACCUCUCCGUCUCCUGGAAAAGAGCUCUUAGCUGUUUUUCGCUCGCCAACUGUCUUUUUUCGAUGGCUUGACGCCAUUCGUGAUUAUCUUCUUCCUCUCUACCAGAUGAUCGACUUUGGGAAGGUGUGGCCAUCUUUGCUAGUGACUGAAUCAAAAUAAAAAGUAAAAGCUUCCCACAGACGGCGCCAAUGUUGUCACCUCGCGUAUCCGGUGGUCCACGUUGCUGCUAGAUGGAUGGACACGCGAUUCUCAACACACAAGGGGUUCUUGAUUCAGUGGUUGUACCUGCAAAAAGGCAUCCGGACAGGGUGUCCGGAUGCACCCUCCGAUGAUGUUGUUAGCCAUAGUAAGAGAGUAAGAUAUAUGAGGCAGUUGGCCUUUUACUAGGUAUCAAGAGGUUACCAGGAGAUCAUCCAUUUCUUCUUCGUGUGAAGUCAUAUAUAUACAGCUUCAGGGGUACUGUUCCUCUCAUUAAUGGUGAGGAGAUAUUUUCUAUUGUGAUGAUGACAAUAGGUGUUAGUAGGAGCAUUAUCAUCCUACGAAUGGCUGUCAGAGACCAUGGUAGGUGAUGCGGCUGUCAGAGAUCGUGGGAAGUGAUUAUGUAGAAUGAUCGUGGGAAGUGACUUGCUGUCACUUCCUCUUGUCUUCUCAUUCUGCAGGUAAUGGGAUGUGGGCCAUGGCUGCUUGUUGUGAUUGCGUGUAAGACUCGCUUUACUUUAAUUGACCAUCCAGACGAUUUAUAUCCGGAUGGAUCAUGCUGAUUAUCCGGAUGUGUUGUGGAGACUAUCCGGGUGUCUACGCUCUGCCAGCGUCGUUUGCUCUUCCUUGGAUAGGAGAAGCUGAAACGUCGUUUGCCUUUCCUUGAGGGGUUCCGGAUAGGAUAGCCGCACCAUGCAUAUCUUUAGGAGAAUCCGGAUGAUGAUGGUCCGACUGAUAGCACGUGCCACGCGUCACCAUGAGCUGCGUGCCACGUGUUUCCCAAGGGGAGGGGUCCCUACAGUAAAGCCGUCAAUAAAUUUUGUAAAUUUAUAAAAGUUGAUAAAAUAUCAUGAUUUAUUAUUAACUUACAAUUUUUAAUAUACAAUUGUUAAUAGUAGUGUUUGAAAUGUGAUUUUUCUCUAGGAAAUAUGGGAUUGACUCCAACAAUUUUUCUCCAUUUUUUCAGAAUUAUCAUUGAAAUAUUGAUUUUUAUGGAGAUUUUACGAUUUUACUGAGAAGCUCUUAGAUAUGGAUUUGAACCAAGCCAAAAGGCUUAGGUUGAAGAGUUACCAAUCGGGCAAAUUCGCCAUUGUUAAAUAUAAUUAGUGCACAAAUUAUAUUAAAAAAUAUUUUAAUAAAUAAAUUAAUUCUAUUUAUUGUAUUUCAAAUUUUACUUAAUUGAUUACUAAAAGUAUAAAAAUCAUUAUUUAUAUGAUAAUUAAAUAUUAAAAAUAUAAAUAGUAUAAAAAAUCAUAUAUAAUUUUGAAUGUUUUUAUUUUAAAAUAUUAAAAAUAUAAAUUUAUUCAAAAAAUUCUAAAAUAUAAACAAAUAAUAAUGGACUUCUAAUAUUUUAUAAAUUAAAUUUAUUUUAAUAAAAUAAAUUAUUAAUAUAAUUUUUAAUAAUUUUAAUUAUUUAAAUAAAUUAAUGUCAAUAACUAAACAUUAUCACCACAAGUAAUAAAAUUUUAGAAAUUAAAUCACAAGUAAAAUAUUUCAUAUAAAUCUUAAAAAACAUUUAAGUUUUUUAAUUUAAAAUGUAAUAAAACUUGAUCUAAUAAAAGUAGUUUGUAAUUUUUAAAAUAAAUGAAUAAAAAUAUAUCAAAAGAAUUUGAGAUCAUUUCUCUAAAAAUAUUUGAUAAAAACUAUUUAUAGCAAUUACACUUAAAAAAAAAACUUUAACAUAUUAUUCUUUCUCAUUUUAUCUUUUUUGAAGUUUUUCCAUGAAUUUUGAAUAAUUUUCUUUUCAUAUUCAUAUUUUAUCGAUAUUUUUUAUAUAUCCAUAAAAUCUAAGUAUUGUUUAUCAAUAUUUUAAACCAUGUAAUAGAUGAAAAAUGAUUAUGAAUUUUAAACCAAUUUUAAAAAAAAAUAGCAUUCAUAUAAUCAUAUCUCUUCCUUUACCGGUUAUUGACCAAAAAAGACAAGUAUUGCUUAUGUCAGUGGUUUUUUUGUUUUUUGUUUUUUCCUCCUCAUUAUGAAUUGGUGGAGGUGUAUUUUCUAUUUAAAAAAGUAAAAAAAUUUAAAAUUAAUAAAUUAAUUUUAUAUUUUACUUUAAAUCCAUUUUGUUUUUUUUAAUCCUUCAACAUUUUCUAAAUAAUUUUAAUUAUAAUAUUUUUCUUUUUCUUUUUUAUAUUUUCCAUAAUACAAUUAAAAAAAAAAAUCAUUUUUCUCAAUAUUUAUUUUUCCUUGAAACUUGAUGGGAAGCGAUCGUGACCUAAAACAACUUUGAAAGUCAUGGUAUCAAUUCAGCUUUUGAAGAAGCAUAGGCAACACUUGCAAGAAACUCUCCACGAUUGACACCAGCAAUCGAAGAUAUAUUAAUAAUGGAAUCUUCUACACAAGCAUCACGCAUGCAGUUAAUAUAAUGUGCAUCUUAAAAAUUAUUAACAAAAUAGACAAUUUAUGCCACCAGACUGCAGAUUUAAAAAUAAAAAAUCAAAAAAUCAAAACAAUAAAAGCAACCAUAAAGAGAAGACAACAAAACAAAUCUAAGAAUUUGAUCCUAUGAAUGAAAGGUAAAUAAAGAUUUGUAUGUAUUAUAAAAAAUAUUAAAGCAAUGAUUUAUUUAUUUAUUUUGUAUAGAGAAACUUUCAAAGAAUGGUUAUCAAAUUUCUAUUAUCAUUUCCCAAUUCAGCAAAACUGGUAAAGAUUUGGAAACUGGACCAAAAAAAAACAAGUGCCGCAAAUUCCAAAUUGGAAAAUAUGAGCGAACAAACCAAAACCCACCUUUUUCUUGAAGUAUAAAAAAAAUGAAAAUAAGAACAAACAGCAAAGCUAAAGAGUGAGUCUUGCAAAAACAUAUGCAUCUUUUUAUUGAAAAGUAUGACCAGAUAGCGUUAUAUGUAUUUUAUACCUUUGUUUAUUGCUUCUACCGGAUUAAACGGUUUUGAUUUUCUCUUACACUUUGAAUCAUGAAGAUUUGGACUUCGAAGCCUUUUCAUGCAUUUUACACGAUGAUUCAAAAUGUUCUUUUAUUUUACUUCAGUAUUUGUACCUCUAACACCAGCGUUAUUCAUCAAAACGUGGCCAAAAGCUUCCCAUGCCCUUCUGAACGGACGCGUUAAUGGCGGGACCAUCGGCGGUGAGGUCAAGUUCCACAGCCACGGCUCGGACGGUGGUGUUAGGGCUUGGAGGAGAGUUAGGACAGGUGAAGUGGUUGAUUUCGUGGCAGAGAAAGUUGAGGCGAUGGCUCCAGCGAGCAGCGGCGUCGAUGUUGGAGCCGGCUUUGGCGAGGUCGAGACAGAAGUGGCGGCCGAGGCCAGAGGAAGCGCCGGUGACCAUGACCACCUUGC
rnacentral:lncRNA from 1 species